rnacentral:rRNA from 1 species
AUUGAACGCUAGCGGCAGGCCUAUCACAUGCAAGUCGAGCGGAUGAGAGGAGCUUGCUUCUCGAUUCAGCGGCGGACGGGUGAGUAAUGCCUAGGAAUCUGCCUGGUAGUGGGGGACAACGUUUCGAAAGGAACGCUAAUACCGCAUACGUCCUACGGGAGAAAGCAGGGGACCUUCGGGCCUUGCGCUAUCAGAUGAGCCUAGGUCGGAUUAGCUAGUUGGUGAGGUAAUGGCUCACCAAGGCGACGAUCCGUAACUGGUCUGAGAGGAUGAUCAGUCACACUGGAACUGAGACACGGUCCAGACUCCUACGGGAGGCAGCAGUGGGGAAUAUUGGACAAUGGGCGAAAGCCUGAUCCAGCCAUGCCGCGUGUGUGAAGAAGGUCUUCGGAUUGCAAAGCACUUUAAGUUGGGAGGAAGGGUUGUAGAUUAAUACUCUGCAAUUUUGACGUUACCGACAGAAUAAGCACCGGCUAACUCUGUGCCAGCAGCCGCGGUAAUAC